UGCAUAACACAUGCAAGUCGAACGGCAGCACAGUACGUAGUAAUACGUAUGGGUGGCGAGUGGCGGACGGGUGAGGAAUACGUAGGGAUCUGCCUUGAAGAGUGGGACAACUCGAGGAAACUCGAGCUAAUACCGCAUGAACUCUGAGGAGGAAAGGCUGGGGCAACCUGGCGCUUUAAGAGGAGCCUACGUCCGAUUAGCUAGUUGGUGGGGUAAAGGCCUACCAAGGCGACGAUCGGUAACUGGUCUGAGAGGAUGACCAGUCACACUGGGACUGAGACACGGCCCAGACUCCUACGGGAGGCAGCAGUGGGGAAUCUUGGACAAUGGGGGCAACCCUGAUCCAGCGAUGCCGCGUGUGUGAAGAAGGCCUUCGGGUUGUAAAGCGC
rnacentral:rRNA from 1 species